rnacentral:rRNA from 1 species
UACGUAGGGGGCUAGCGUUAUCCGGAAUCAUUGGGCGUAAAGGGUGUGUAGGCGGCCAAGUAAGUCAGUUGUGAAAGCCCCGGGCUCAACCCGGGAAGUGCUUCUGAUACUGCUUGGCUUGAGUAUUGGAGAGGUGAGUGGAAUUCCAGGUGUAGUGGUGAAAUACGUAGAUAUCUGGAGGAACACCGGUGGCGAAGGCGGGUCUCUGGGCAGUAACUGACGCUGAGGAGCGAAAGCGUGGGGAGCGAACAGG